rnacentral:rRNA from 1 species
UACGAAGGGGGCUAGCGUUGCUCGGAAUCACUGGGCGUAAAGCGCACGUAGGCGGCUUUUUAAGUCAGGGGUGAAAUCCUGGAGCUCAACUCCAGAACUGCCUUCGAUACUGUAGAGCUUGAGUUCGGGAGAGGUGAGUGGAACUGCGAGUGUAGAGGUGAAAUUCGUAGAUAUUCGCAAGAACACCAGUGGCGAAGGCGGCUCACUGGCCCGAUACUGACGCUGAGGUGCGAAAGCGUGGGGAGCAAACAGG